UUGUACACACCGCCCGUCACACCAUGGGAGUGGGGGAUACCAGAAGUAGGUACGGUAACCGCAAGGAGCCCGCUUACCACGGUAUGCUUCAUGACUGGGGUGAAGUCGUAACAAGGUAGCCGUAGGGGAACCUGCGGCUGGAUCACCUCCUUUCU
rnacentral:rRNA from 1 species